UAUGGAGAACGCUGUGUGAGAGCGAUCACUCCGUGGGUUCCGUGAUUACAGCCUAAAAGUGCAAGCAACUGAUUCGUCUAGAACUUUCUCAAAAGGGGCCAGGCUUCGCAGCUCCGGAGGCACUUUACUUAUGGAUUCGUCAGGCUGGGCUCUACUCCUGGUUAUCGCACUUUCAAAGACGGAAAGACUUCUGUGGGUGGCUUUUGACUACCUGCUGCUGCUUUGUUGCUUCAGUGAAG